AAAACUACAACUGGUUUCCUAGCAUCAAGGAAUAAGCUUACUUAUUUUUGUUUCCUGCUGCUUUAAUCAGUGGAAUGUUCUAGUUUGAAUAGUAGAAGAAGAACAACAAAAGAAAGUUGUGCACAUAUCAGAUGACUAAUAAAAGCAGAUUACAAUGAGUGUUCAAAAAAUCAAGCAAAUUGUCAUCAACACGCCACAUGUGUGAACAAUGAAGGRACCUUUUCCUGUMAAUGCAACAGCGGCUAUGAAGGCAAUGGUGUACAAUGUGAAGCUGGAUUCCUCAAGACGUACUGGUGGCUUGUUGUAGUGUUGGCCGUUGUUUUACUUAUUAUCAUAAUCGUACUCAUAAUUCUUGUCGUCAAAAAACACACAMAGCUUAAUAGGUGUCCUAUCUGGAGGUUCCAGGCCUCUAGAAUUCAACCUCUACCUGCUUGAAUGAGUGCAUAAAUGGAUUGGUAACGAGCGUACACUUCUUAAAGUGGAAUGGACAACAUUUUUURAUACAUUUUAUCAAUGCUUUAUGAAGUCAAAUUAGGUCGUASAAACGACGUGUUCGGCUGGAUCUGCCAUUCAGGCAAUUGUGGUGUUGGUUUCAUCUUCAUCUUGAACGUACUUGAAUAUGGCACCACGCGGUCUUGAUUGAUUUCAGAAUUUAUAUCACGACGCGAUAACUCAAUGAAAUGAUGAAGUGCAUUACAAAAUGCAGCUUUUGUUCAAUAGUAUAUUUUCCGUAUUUAAUUAAAAUUGUUGCUAACUUAAUCUAGCAAUAGUCAAGAUUUGAAAUAUUUAUUUGUAUUACUAAAUACACUCGCGAGAUUUGGCACGGAAAGGCACAACACGCAUGAGCGGCUACACUAAACUGUUACAGUAUGCCCAUAAAAGGAAUUAUAAGUAUAAAAUAUUUAUCCAUCUAAGCAAUACAUAACAUUAUUUCAUAUAAAUACAUGCUCAAAAUGAAAAACUUUGGAAUCUUCAGCGCCAUUGAUGUUAUUUCAAGCCAAUAUGGCCGACAGYAUAAGCUAAUACUGAGUCSAAAGUAUGCCUAGAGCUCAAUGUUUUCAUUAAAGUUUUGACCUCUAAUAUGUCCCUUGUCUUAUGUAGGUGGGAGAAUGUUCUCUAGGGGGUCGUAGUAGAAUCUAGCAUUCUUUUGUCAGGACAGAAACUGUUUUCUAUAGUACAUCAGGCAUCGUGGGAAUAAACGAAAAGUCCCAUGGCUUUCGCACCGGAGUUCGGUAACACGACUGAUACGCAUGAUAUACAUGUUCGCCUAAUAUUUCAUAAUAWUUUCCUUUCUCUAAUUCUAGUUGUCUUGUCUUGAACUUCUUGUGUUUCUUCAYCUUUUUAGCUGGCUAGCUUCAUCUCCUACAUUUGUUGUAAAUUGUUCGAGAUCAUGGAUCAUAUUUUAUUUUACACAUCUAGUUUCGUUCCAUAACAGCCAGAUGCAUUUUUAAUAUUCCACUCGGAAUUGAUCAUACUGGUAUCAA